UAUAAAAUAUUAUAUACAAGUUAACACGGGUAAUCAAUCAUCCGGCCAAAAUAUCACUUCAACGUAAUCAAAUAUCGCUUCAACGUAAUCUGCUGACGGCGCGUCUACAGUUUUGCACAUAACACCAAAGAAAAGUUCAGUACUGCAAUAAUAACGCUUCCGGCCAUAUUGCUGAUCGAACACUUAUAGUCUUGCGCGAGACAACAAUAAACCAAAUACAAGACAAUAAGCGGAAUUGGUUCACGCGGCAAAUAACGUGCAGCAACUAAAGUUAGCAAGCAGUGUAGGUAUUUAGACG